rnacentral:rRNA from 1 species
UUUCUUUUAUGGAGAGUUUGAUCCUGGCUCAGGACGAACGCUGGCGGCGUGCCUAAUACAUGCA